AGUCGAGGGGCUCAGGAAGAAGCUUGCUUUCUUUGCUGGCGACCGGCGCACGGGUGAGUAACACGUAUCCAACCUGCCCUUUACUCGGGGAUAGCCUUUCGAAAGAAAGAUUAAUACCCGAUAGCAUAAUGAUUCCGCAUGGUUUCAUUAUUAAAGGAUUCCGGUAAAGGAUGGGGAUGCGUUCCAUUAGGUUGUUGGUGAGGUAACGGCUCACCAAGCCUUCGAUGGAUAGGGGUUCUGAGAGGAAGGUCCCCCACAUUGGAACUGAGACACGGUCCAAACUCCUACGGGGGAGGCAGCAGUGAGGAAUAUUGGUCAAUGGGCGCUAGCCUGAACCAGCCAAGUAGCGUGAAGGAUGAAGGCUCUAUGGGUCGUAAACUUCUUUUAUAUAAGAAUAAAGUGCAGUAUGUAUACUGUUUUGUAUGUAUUAUAUGAAUAAGGAUCGGCUAACUCCGUGCCAGCAGCCGCGGUAAUACGGAGGAUCCGAGCGUUAUCCGGAUUUAUUGGGUUUAAAGGGAGCGUAGGUGGACUGGUAAGUCAGUUGUGAAAGUUUGCGGCUCAACCGUAAAAUUGCAGUUGAUACUGUCAGUCUUGAGUACAGUAGAGGUGGGCGGAAUUCGUGGUGUAGCGGUGAAAUGCUUAGAUAUCACGAAGAACUCCGAUUGCGAAGGCAGCUCACUGGACUGCAACUGACACUGAUGCUCGAAAGUGUGGGUAUCAAACAGGAUUAGAUACCCUGGUAGUCCACACAGUAAACGAUGAAUACUCGCUGUUUGCGAUAUACAGUAAGCGGCCAAGCGAAAGCAUUAAGUAUUCCACCUGGGGAGUACGCCGGCAACGGUGAAACUCAAAGGAAUUGACGGGGGCCCGCACAAGCGGAGGAACAUGUGGUUUAAUUCGAUGAUACGCGAGGAACCUUACCCGGGCUUAAAUUGCAGUGGAAUGAUGUGGAAACAUGUCAGUGAGCAAUCACCGCUGUGAAGGUGCUGCAUGGUUGUCGUCAGCUCGUGCCGUGAGGUGUCGGCUUAAGUGCCAUAACGAGCGCAACCCUUAUCUUCAGUUACUAACAGGUCAUGCUGAGGACUCUGGAGAGACUGCCGUCGUAAGAUGUGAGGAAGGUGGGGAUGACGUCAAAUCAGCACGGCCCUUACGUCCGGGGCUACACACGUGUUACAAUGGGGGGUACAGAAGGCAGCUAGCGGGUGACCGUAUGCUAAUCCCAAAAUCCUCUCUCAGUUCGGAUCGAAGUCUGCAACCCGACUUCGUGAAGCUGGAUUCGCUAGUAAUCGCGCAUCAGCCACGGCGCGGUGAAUACGUUCCCGGGCCUUGUACACACCGCCCGUCAAGCCAUGGGAGCCGGGGGUACCUGAAGUACGUAACCGCAAG
rnacentral:rRNA from 1 species